GACGAACGCUGGCGGCGUGCCUAAUACAUGCAAGUUGAGCGCUGAAGGUUGGUACUUGUACCAACUGGAUGAGCAGCGAACGGGUGAGUAACGCGUGGGUAAUCUGCCUUUGAGCGGGGGACAACAUUUGGAAACGAAUGCUAAUACCGCAUAAAAACUUUAAACACAAGUUUUAAGUUUGAAAGAUGCAAUUGCAUCACUCAAAGAUGAUCCCGCGUUGUAUUAGCUAGUUGGUGAGGUAAAGGCUCACCAAGGCGAUGAUACAUAGCCGACCUGAGAGGGUGAUCGGCCACAUUGGGACUGAGACACGGCCCAAACUCCUACGGGAGGCAGCGGUAGGGAAUCUUCGGCAAUGGACGAAAGUCUGACCGAGCGACGCAGCGUGAGUGAAGAAGGUUUUCGGAUCGUAAAACUCUGUUGGUAGAGAAGAACGUUGGUGAGAGUGGAAAGCUCAUCAAGUGACGGUAACUACCCAGAAAGGGACGGCUAACUACGUG
rnacentral:rRNA from 1 species